rnacentral:rRNA from 1 species
UGCAGAAUCCCGUGAACCAUCGAAUCUUUGAACGCAAGUUGCGCCCGACGCCUUCGGGCUGAGGGCACGCCUGCCUGGGCGUCA